UUGGCAGAUUAGUGCAAUAAAUUUAGAAUUUAUUUAUGUAAUUUUUAUUACAAAUAGUACUUGUUUU
rnacentral:tRNA from 2 species